AACGAACGCUGGCGGCAUGCCUAACACAUGCAAGUCGAACGAAGCCUUCGGGCUUAGUGGCGCACGGGUGCGUAACGCGUGGGAAUCUGCCCUUGGGUUCGGAAUAACAGUUAGAAAUGACUGCUAAUACCGAAUGAUGUCUUCGGACCAAAGAUUUAUCGCCCAAGGGAUGAGCCCGCGUCGGAUUAGCUAGUUGGUGAGGUAAAGGCUCACCAAGGCGACGAUCCGUAGCUGGUCUGAGAGGAUGAUCAGCCACACUGGGACUGAGACACGGCCCAGACUCCUACGGGAGGCAGCAGUGGGGAAUAUUGGACAAUGGGCGAAAGCCUGAUCCAGCAAUGCCGCGUGAGUGAUGAAGGCCUUAGGGUUGUAAAGCUCUUUUACCCGGGAUGAUAAUGACAGUACCGGGAGAAUAAGCCCCGGCUAACUCCGUGCCAGCAGCCGCGGUAAU
rnacentral:rRNA from 1 species